AUGAGAGGAGGCAAUAGGAGGGGUCAAAUUGGCAAUCUUUCAAAGCCAUCUUCCAAAUUCCUUUUUCCUACUGGCCUUUUUUUCCACUGCAACUCAUCCCAACUCAAGAAAGCGGGCUUUUCCUUCCAUUCACUGGUGGGAGGAGUAUUCUCUAACCACAGCAGGUGAAAGGAAAAGCAAAGUUCUGCAAAAUUCCAGGAAGAUGAAGCACGUGCGUGGUGUGGUGCCAGAGGACUACUCGUGUCCACAGCCACACUGCUCUUGACAGCGUCUCCUGCUGCACUGCUGGGCCUGCAACAGAAUCCUGGGAAAUCAGAUUGCUAGCGACAGAAAGGAACUCCACGUCUAUUUAGUCCAACUUCCUCCAAUGAGGAAAUGAAGUUGUAGGAGGAUUCACAGGAAGCGAUCAUUAUGUCAGAAUCUGUGAAGAUCAGGUUCUAAUUAUCAAGGGGUGAAAACCAACAUGCAAAUAUUUGCUAUUGAUAAGAUACUUAGAAAUCAGAAUGGCUUCUCACGCCCAUAGUAAGCUCUCCUCACAGGACUUGCAAAUUUGAGUUUACUGCUCCCACACUAAUUAGGCAAAGAAAGCAGGCCUGGAGUGUACAUGUCGUAUAUGCCCUAGAAAAUGGCCAUUGUACUUUGCUGCACGGAGACACUGCUACUGAGGGUGUCCCAGCAUAGCCAGGAAAUGGCAGAGGUGAAGGUCGUGGUCUCUGGUAUGGUAAUGGGUGGGGUCACAGACAAUGGCAGACUUUAAAGUGUGUGUACCACUAAGAGACCAUCCAGAGGAUUAUGAAGAAAGCUGGUAUUGGAGUCAGAAACAAACAUUAGACUCCGUGAAGUCUAAGUUGUCCAUGAAGGACCAACACUAAGAGUUCAUCAUGGUCUUGUGAACCCCCAGCACCGUGCCUGUCUCAGAAGAGGAGUUCAAAACUGUGAAUGAACAAAUUAACUGCCUGGGUUCAGAUCCUCGCUCUGCCACUUACCAACAGUAUGAUCUUAGGGAAGUUCUGGAACUUCUCUGUGCCUCCACCUCCUUGCCUGUAAAUGGAGAUCAUGAUAAUACCUGUCUCAGGAUUAUUGUGGAGAAAAUGUAGACAGUUUAGCACAGCACAUAGCACAUAGCAAGAGCUCAGUAACUGUAAGUUCUUAUUGUUCUGACUCUUCAGGAUUAUUAUUAUUACUGACUUUUGAUCAGUUCUGGUAAAUGGUCUGCACACAAUAAUAUUCACCUUACACAAACACCUAAAGAGUUAACUUGACACAUUAGCAGCUGUUUUACCAUCAGCAACAGUCCACAAAGAGACAGCUAAGUUUUUGUUUGCUUGUUUGUUUCUGCCAAUUGAAUUUUAAGAUCCUCUGCUUCACUAUAAUUAACUCUUUGAACUGGCAAGGUGCUUUCAGUGUAAUCACCAGCUGUCAGUUCUUCCUGCCUCUCCCACCUUACACCAGGAGCUCAGGGAUGUGCGUCCUGGGACUCUAUCUUGGGACUUCAGAGUUUUGAGAGCACACAGAGGAACAGGAUGCACCCAUCAUUUAUCUGGAGGUCACUUAAAUAAUUUCUGCAACGAGGAGAGACAAUGUGAAAGAAGGGGAAUUUUAUUUUUUAGCAAACUAACUUGGUAAGUUAAAAAAAAGUAAUUACUUGGAAAUUUUCAGAGUUUUGAGUUUGUUUUAGCAAUGAUCCUUAUAAUAUUGCAAUUUUCAGGUCCCAGUCUCCCUUGGCUUGAUUUUCCCCUUCUCAUUAAUGACAAAUAUGAUACAGGGAAGUUGAAGUGAUACUACCAAAAACCCCUUUGAAUCACAAGCAAGCCAUGUUAUGGAGAUGGCUCCACGUCUGUGUGGACUCUCCAUUAUACUGUAUAUUAUGUAUAUAAUAUUAUCCCAAUCUCCUUCUAUUAUUUUAAACACCAAAUUACUUUCUUUAAUUCUGUUUUAUCGAAACAGUAUUUUUAACCUUCAAAAUAUACAGAUUAUGUACAAUUUAUUGAGGAAAAACCCAGAACUUUGCUUUCCUGGGUGUCUUCUACAGCUGUGCUAAGAAAAAUAGCAAACAUUUCUAGACUGUCUCAAGCCAAACACCAUCCUUCAAGGAGCCUAUCUUUUGUUCUCAAUAAUACUAUGACCUCUUUAAAAAGAAAAAGGAAAAAAAAACUCCGGGAACGGGGGAGCGACUUUUCAAUUCUAUUAUCUCUGGCAUUUUGUACCAGUCUGGGUUUUCUCAAGUCUCGAGACAAGAAGCACAUAUUCGUUUUAGACAUUAAAAAAAAAAGUCCCGAACGCCUUUGCAAUUUCUUCCUUGAGCUGUCUAAAGAGAACUAUUUAUUUUGCUUCUUUACCUUGCAAAUAGCUAACGGCUUCCAGCCAGGGCUCAACCCAACCCUUUGUGCCCUGCAGUCAUGGCUGUGUCUUUAAAAGAAAACCGAUUCUCUGGAAUGCUGUGCGUGCACAUGCCUGUCGGACUCGGCAGGCCCCACCUGCCGAGCAGGUAAACCAGAUCCUCCACACCGGCCUCUGCAGCCACAUUCCAGCCAGGCAAGCUCCUACUCUCUAAUUGUUACCUGUCAAACAGGUCAACCAGGCACUUGGGUCCAGUCCAAACACGCGCAUGUUCCCACGAAACCCUAAACCUGCAAACCUUUGACCUUUUCAUAGGACCCGAGGUCCCUUGAUUAUUUUAGCCGGGGCUGAUUUAAAUCCAAAUGAUGACUUCUUCACAGGCACACAAGUUCUUUUUUCUCCCUCACCAGGGUUGGUAACGCUGAUCAUACACUGUUUGGGGUUUCUGGACUAGCACACCGUGGUAAUUCACGAUGACCGGAAGGCAGACGUUGAAGUGGCAAGGGCUCCUGAAAUGAAAUCCGCUGGCCCUAAAUCACUCAUGGAAAUCGCAGGCUGUCUACCCUGACUAAAUGGGGAGUGAAUUCCCUAGGGUGGAUUAAAGGAGAGGUGAUGCACAGGUGAACAUUCCCUUCCUCUCCAUUCUGGUACUGGGCUGGCAGCGGAGACUGUGGCCGAUGGGCUCAGCUCCAAACCUGGAAGACCUCAAGCAAGGGACGUGAACUCUCUGGGCCUCAGUUUCCCAUCUUUGGUAAAGAGAAGGAAGGCCACACAGGUCAUAAGGCCCGUUCCACCACCAUCUCUAGGUUCUUUCCUUUCAUUGAUGCCACUCAAAGUAGGGGAAUCAUGUUACAGGAAUGCUGAUGCCUCUGCACCCUUGUUAUCUGGGCUGGGUGGGGGCUUGGGUACUGCUGGGGGGACCCUAAAUCAGCUGAGGGCCUGUUUUGUUUAGGUUACCAGGUUUGGGGACUUUCCUCAAGUGUGAAAAAGCCCUGGGCUUCCCCUCUUGGGACAUCAGGAUAUCCAUCUUAGCCUCAGUUACCCCUCUGUAUCUAUCUAGUGAGUUCAGUCUUUUAUAAUUGGGAGAGAUGAUUAUUUCCAUUGUUUUUGUAGCACAGACUAUCCAUUUUAUUCUACUGAAUCAAAACUACAGGCUCCCUGAACCUAGACACUUCAUUUUACAGAUAAAGAACCUGAGACCUAGAGAGGGGGCAUGAGCUGCAGGAUGUCUCUCAAUUAGUCAGGCUCCUCACUUAAGGGACCGUGGGAGUUGGUGAACAUUGCGGGCUAGCAAAAUCAUUGCCAGAGAAGUGACAUCUGAAGAUAUUCCCAAGACUGCUCCAAUUAAGGAAUUUCAAAAAUCCAGGCAAAGAACACAAGCUCUCAAGCAGGUUUCUGAGAUGGGCAGUGCUGUCCGGCCAGUUUGCUGGGGGGUUCUCCUCUCUGGCUGGACAGGUUAUUCUACAAAGAGCUGAGGAUCACUGCGUGCAGAGCAGGAACUAGCACUUCCUGCUCCUUCAUCCAGCUCAGACUUGUCCACCAGAGCCAAACUGGCUGGGCUGGCUCCCGAGAGAGAAACUUCCUUGGGGCUCUGGGAUGGUGGAGUCGGGCAGUCUGCAAGCCGGCUUAGCAUCCUUCUCACCAGCCGCAUGCUUUAGGAAGAGCAAAGCACAGAGUGCACGGGCUCAAGGAGGGAGAUUUCAAUGAGAAGCCCACCUGGCUUGUCUUCUGGGGUGCCGUUAAUUCAAGAGAGCUGCUGUAUGCUGGGGGUGCCAAGACCCCCCCACAGAGGGGCUAUAUGUACUGAAGGGGCCAUCAGAGGUCAAACCGGAUGAAUGGGCACUUCGUCUCCUUGUAAAGACCUCUCGGGGAGCAUGUAAACCACUAUUUAAUUGCUUUAAAAUAAAUAUUAAACAGUAUUCACACA
rnacentral:lncRNA from 1 species